rnacentral:rRNA from 1 species
GUCCACAUCGACGGGGAGGUUUGGCACCUCGAUGUCGGCUCAUCGCAUCCUGGGGCUGUAGUCGGUCCCAAGGGUUGGGCUGUUCGCCCAUUAAAGCGGUACGCGAGCUGGGUUCAGAACGUCGUGAGACAGUUCGGUCCCUAUCCGUCGUGGGCGUAGGAAAUUUGAGAGGAGCUGUCCUUAGUACGAGAGGACCGGGAUGGACGCACCGCUGGUGUACCAGUUGUUCUGCCAAGGGCAUAGCUGGGUAGCUAUGUGCGGAANAUCUAAGCAUGAAGCCCCCCUCAAGAUGAGAUUUCCCAUAGCGUAAGCUAGUAAGAUCCCUGAAAGAUGAUCAGGUUGAUAGGUUCGAGGUGGAAGCAUGGUGACAUGUGGAGCUGACGAAUACUAAUAGAUCGAGGACUUAACCAUAUAA